GACUUUGAAUGAUUAUGUAUUUUUGGCAUCCAUAAUUGUAAUCUCGAUUAGAAAUUCGAUAUAAUUGUGCAGCCAUACUGAGCACUCUGAAAAAAGUGUCACUUGUUCAGUU